rnacentral:rRNA from 1 species
GACGAACGCUGGCGGCGUGCUUAACACAUGCAAGUCGAACGCUGAAGCCCAGCUUUUGUUGGGUGGAUGAGUGGCGAACGGGUGAGUAACACGUGAGUAACCUGCCCCCUUCUUUGGGAUAACGCCCGGAAACGGGUGCUAAUACUGGAUAUUCACUGGUCUUCGCAUGGGGGUUGGUGGAAAGGGUUUUUCUGGUGGGGGAUGGGCUCGCGGCCUAUCAGCUUGUUGGUGGGGUGAUGGCCAACCAAGGCUUUGACGGGUAGACGGCCUGAGAGGGUGACCGGUCACAUUGGGACUGAGAUACGGCCCAGACUCCUACGGGAGGCAGCAGUGGGGAAUAUUGCACAAUGGGCGCAAGCCUGAUGCAGCGACGCCGCGUGAGGGAUGGAGGCCUUCGGGUUGUGAACCUCUUUCGCUCAUGGUCAAGCCGCAACAAUGGUUGUGGUGAGGGUAGUGGGUAAAGAAGCGCCGGCUAACUACGUG